UUACGACGAAUGACAGAGAAAAGGAGCGAAGUCCAAGUCCCCAGCAGCAGCAGAGCGAAGCUCCGACGCAGACAUUUCCCAGAACUCCCCAAGAGAAAAUGCAGGAAGCCUGGAAGGAGCCAGCAGAAGAUUGUUUGUUCCUGAGGCAUCCUACCAUGCCACUGCCUGUCCACACCACCAAGAAGAGAUCUGUCCUGGGCCCUGUGUCCACAGGUCCACCGCCUGUCAACAAACCCGAGAUGAGAUUACUCUGCCCUUCGGGUCACAACGAUUCACCUCAACUGAGCACCUGUGGACCCACCAAAGGACAUGGCAGGGACGUUACUGCCUCCCUGCUCCCUGUUCUGAAGAGCUCCCACCAGACCCCCACUCUCAGUGCCAGGCUGCCAGCCAACAGGCCUGACAUGUCCUCCCAUGGUGCUCUCCAGCCUGCCAUGCAGGCGCUUGCCCUGGGUCCUGGCCUUAAAUCCCAGGCAGAAAUCAAACAUCCCGACGC